rnacentral:rRNA from 1 species
UGCCAGUCCGAACGGUUAGCCACAGAGAGCUUGCUCUCGGGUGACGAGUGGCGGACGGGUGAGUAAUGUCUGGGAAACUGCCUGAUGGAGGGGGAUAACUACUGGAAACGGUAGCUAAUACCGCAUAACGUCGCAAGACCAAAGAGGGGGACCUUCGGGCCUCUUGCCAUCAGAUGUGCCCAGAUGGGAUUAGCUAGUAGGUGGGGUAAUGGCUCACCUAGGCGACGAUCCCUAGCUGGUCUGAGAGGAUGACCAGCCACACUGGAACUGAGACACGGUCCAGACUCCUACGGGAGGCAGCAGUGGGGAAUAUUGCACAAUGGGCGCAAGCCUGAUGCAGCCAUGCCGCGUGUAUGAAGAAGGCCUUCGGGUUGUAAAGUACUUUCAGCGGGGAGGAAGGUGUUGCGGUUAAUAACCGCAGCAAUUGACGUUACCCGCAGAAGAAGCACCGGCUAACUCCGUGCCAGCAGCCGCGGUAAUACGGAGGGUGCAAGCGUUAAUCGGAAUUACUGGGCGUAAAGCGCACGCAGGCGGUCUGUCAAGUCGGAUGUGAAAU